rnacentral:tRNA from 1 species
GGAGGGGUGGCCGAGUGGUUUAAGGCACAUCUUUGCUAAAGAUGCGAAGCCGAAAGGUUUCCGGAGGUUCGAAUCCUCUCCCCUCCG